CAGCCGCCGCGGUAAUACGAAGGGGGCUAGCGUUGCUCGGAAUUACUGGGCGUAAAGGGCGCGUAGGCGGACAGUUCAGUCGGGGGUGAAAGCCCGGGGCUCAACCUCGGAAUUGCCUUUAAGACUGCAUCGCUUGAAUCCAGGAGAGGUGAGUGGAAUUCCGAGUGUAGAGGUGAAAUUCGUAGAUAUUCGGAAGAACACCAGUGGCGAAGGCGGCUCACUGGACUGGUAUUGACGCUGAGGUGCGAAAGCGUGGGGAGCAAACAGGAUUAGAUACCCGCGUAGUCCCUGUCUCUUAUAC
rnacentral:rRNA from 1 species